CUAGACCCCACACCCUGUGUGUGGAAUGUCCCGCACCCUGGAGCAAGGUGUUUCAGUCACUGUUUCUGCUGUUCAUGGUGUGCUGACUCUGGCCCCCACGGAGCUGGAGUAGGCAAAGGAGCCUGGUGCAGGGCAGGGGGGCAGAUGAUGUGCUUCAAGCUCACUACUACCACAUCCCUGGGAGCUGAGGGACACCCAGUCCCUCAGAGUAGUGUCAGCUGCAGUAAAUAUCUCUUUUCUGGCCUUCCUGGGGAGAGAAAGCUGGGUAAAAAUUCAGGAUGAUCAAUCCACCACAUUUAUUAUACUAUGUUUUCUUAUAGGACAGGCAUGGCACACACAUAUGUGAACAAUGAGGAAGAGGAGAAGACACAGAUGCAUGUUCCAGAGUCUCAUGUCAUACUGUGAUGGAUCCUCCAUUGCUUGACAUUUUCACUACUGCCCCAGUCUACCCCAUUUUGGCACUCAUCUUGUUCCUGCAUUGAAGUACCCAAUGAUGUCAUGUUCCUGAACAAAUGCCUGUGCUAUUCCUUACACAGGACAGAAGGAAAUUUGCCUACUGCAGAGGGAGGUCCUGAUCCUAUCUGACACAAUUUGAAUAUCCAAGUCAGGCAAACAAGUUCCCUUGUGGGAAUACUCUUCUCUGACAUGCCCAACUGGGGAGUUUGACUGCAUUGUUGAAACUGCCAUAUCUCUGAGUGGGGUAUAAACCUGACACAUGAGAAGGUUCAGUGUCCACUGACUACUGAGCCUUUACAGAGCUGGGGAAGAAGUCAGAUCAUGAUCUCAGUUUGAUUUUCUAUUUGACAGAGCUUUUCAAAGGCAUGAGCAAACCUAAUAGCUGCUUAUGAAUAUUAAUCAUAAUGUGCAUCACCUCUUUUCAUCCAGCUAUCAAAAGUGGGAGUGAACUUAGAAACUCCCAUUGUGCAGAGAAGGAAGCAGAUACUGAGUGACUCAAUGAAGCAGAAAGAAGAAGCAGUCUCCUGACUCCUCCUAUCCACUCACCCUCUACAACCGGUCUUGCUGCUCUUGGCUGUCAUUUGUGAGAGGUGUUAGUAAACACAGCUAUUCUUAGCUGUCCCAGACCCAUGGACACCACCCUGGGCUGAAUACCUGUCAAGUACCCUAGAUAUGUUCAGGGAUCUAGGGCAAAUGCUGAUCCAAAUAGUUUCCAUUCCUGUGGAGAGGGUAGAUGGGAGGUGCAAGUGCCUUUCCUGUAUUCAGCAGCAGCAGCAGGCCCAGCACACCACUUGCCUUGUCAAAUUCUCCCAAAAAGGACUUCUUUGGGGACCUCUCCACUCACAAUCUGUUCCUGUGGUGUACUACUUGUAGGUGAAGAGUUUUAUUACAGAAGGAGGUCAGCAAAAGUGUGUUUGAAUCUCAGCAGCAGAAGCUCCACAUCCGAAGGCAGGACUCCACCACACUGUUGUCCAUUACUCGUGCUUGUCGCAGGUUUAACGGAGGGGAAUACAACUGUGUGACUCUAACUCUGAUUGUUCUUUACAAGUGAUGCUUCUGGUGCCACUUUAUCUGUAGAUAAAGACAAAAGGUGGCUUGCUGUGGGAUUCAAGGAGAGAAUGAUGUAAAUGUCUGUGUCGAUUCAUGUAAGUAUUUUCUACUGCUGCUGGUAUUGCGAAUGGUAGCAUUCCCAUGAAUACUAACAUUAUGGAAGAAACUUCUACAGUAUUUGCUAUAUUUGCAAUAUUUGCUAUAUUUGCUGUGUUUUUCAACUGUUCCCUGUUCUCAACAGCACAGAGCUGUGAAGUCCAGGUUUCCAGCACGGGAAGAUGAGCUAAGGAAUGAAAAUCUGCUAUGUACAGUUUAUUCCUUUAUGUGAAUUUCCUCCUGCUCAGCUUUAAAAUACUUUUCUCGUGCAAGAAGAAAUUUCCAGUUGACAAACAGCUUGAUUUGGAACCCAUUCAAGUGAUAGUAAAACAUUAUAUAUCUGUUUCUGGAAGGAAAAAAAAUCACCAUAGUGAAACUUACCUUUAAAAUAAACAUGCUAAAUAUCUCUGAUGGGCACAUGCUUGGUGAUGAAUGUUUAUCAUGGUUCCUUUUUAAGUAGUGUCUUCUAUUUUUAUGCUGAACUUUCUCUACACUGGUGACACAAUGUUAUCUCAAGACCUUUCAGCCAGAUAAGACCACACCAGUUUUCUCAAAAAGGUCUUCUGUCUAAGAUUUUGUACAUAAUUGGAGUAGGGAGGCACUGUGGGAAGCAGAACACCAACUAUAUUUAAAUUAAGAAUUCUUAAAAGUUGAUAUUAGAUAGGGAGUUGACCUGAAAGUUUUUGGUAACUGACAUGACUUCAAGAUAGGCCUCAUAAUUUGUCAAAAUACUUUGGACAGAUACUUGUGAAAGUAAGAAGAGUCUGCACAAAAAAGAAUAAGAAGAAUCAAAAAUCUCUGUGACCGUCGACCUUGGGUAGAGAAAAGUCACGGCACCAAAAAGCACCCCUACCAGCCUGUGACUAGGCAUCUUGAAUGGAGCUAAAGUCUGUCUGAGAGAUAUGAUGACAAGCAGAUCACCAUCUGCCUUAUUGGCUGCAAUCCUAGGUUUUGCUUCAUACGAAUCCAGAAGCCUGAAAGAGUUGAUAUGUUCUCAGACUUCAACUGUCUUCAGAAAUUUAUUAUUACUUCCACCCUCCCCCCGCUUCCCCCCUCUCCAUUAUUCUGUGCUGUGAAAUGCCAUGGUAUUUUUUUGUGGUUUUUUUGUUCCCUAAUCUGAUGUGUGAAAAUCAUCAAAUGCAUGCAUAUGAGCACAUGGCAGGUCGAUCUAGGGGAGGCUAUACUAUCCAAAUAAUAUUUUAUAAAGUUGGUUUUAGAAUCUAUUGUACGUUUAAAAGUAUGAAAAGAAUCAAUUAUCUACAAAUCUUGGUAAAUAAAGUUUUCAAUACUUCAUAUCAAAUUAAUAAACAUCUCUGACGGUAGAGGCAGGGAAAAGCAGCAACUAGAUUUUCAAGGUUGCCAAUAUGAUUUUCGAAAGCACACAGAAGGCUGUCUAAGUACUCAACCAUUCAGCAACAUAGUUCUAAGAAGAAAGCUUUAAUCAUGGUUUCUAAGAUAAUCAAAUUGUCAGAUGGUAGUGUUAUUUCAGCACACAGAAGAUUAACAUUUUCAAUAACAACUAUACAGGUUUCAGCAAAAGUGUCUCACUUUGUAAACAGAGGACAUACCUCUUCUUUGCUUAUUUUUAAAAUGCAUAAGGUAAGAUCUAUUUUUUUUUUUUAAUUUGACUAAAUUCCUAUAUAAUAUUGAGGCUCAUCUGACUUUGGUAUGGCAGUUGUAAUUAGUUCCAGAUUAAUUGUAUUGGAGCCAAACCUGCCAGUGUUUGAAGGCAGUGUCCCUGGCUGUCCAUGUGUCUACUGACAUGGCAGUAAAAUCAUUUUUGUGGAUGUUUGGUGCUGGCUUAGCCAUUUACUUAGUCAUUUGUGUGACUUACAACUUUCUCACUGCCUCUGCUGUCCUUUUUUUCAUGCAGAUGCUGGAACUGCUUGUGCAACAGUCUCUCCACUGCUGCUUCUCACAGAGGGAUGUCUUGAGCAAACCAAAAUCUGCAAGGCUUCGCUUUUCACUGCUUGACUGGAAAUCACAGAAGCUCAGACCUGAAUAAUGAGCAGCACAGGGCCAGGUAUAGCAGGCAUGGGGAAGACAUCUAGAGCAUUAUUGUCUCCGGCAUUAUUCCCCAGGACAGUCCACUCUUAAAACAGAGGCUGAGGCUGUUGUCCUGAUUCUGCUCUGGGGUUGGUGACAGAUGGCAGAGAGGUGGCAAGAAACAGAGGGUAAGAAAACCUUCCAGUGAGUUGUGAGAAAAACAUGAACCAAAAUCCUCAAUGCAUCUUAACCUGGAGAAAGAGUCUGCAGAUAAAUCUGGAGCAGCUGGAUUAAAUGAGAAAGACCUGUAAGGAGGGAGAGCCUUGCUGCAACCUGCCUGUCCCUGAAGCAAAUGAUUUUAGACACCUGGCCCUUGCUUGCUAUGGCAGAGCCAUGUGUGGCACAAGCACAGGUGUGUUUGGUGGCUCCCGCAGUGUGAUGUAGUUCAGGAGUAGACAUGAAGAGCUAGAUCCAAGACAGUUCAGGUGGCUAAAACCAGGGCAUAUAAAAUCUUGCAUCUAAACCAAUGUUUAGGGGCUUGAUUCCCUAGAGGGAGCACAGGGAAGGGUCAGUGAUGCAGAGCAGGACACAGACCAGCCAAUGUCAGUGUGCUGCUGCCAAGUGCUCCUGUGUAGAAACACUGGAUGCAGCUGCCUUCUCAUAUGCUUUCAAAAACAUCAUCAUACUUGCUGCUUGUAGCUAAAUGUUGAUGAAGAGUGUGCAUCUCCUAUAUGUAAAAUAAAUUGGUGGCUAAAGAAACUAGGAAAAUACAGAAGGCUUCACACAACCAGGACUUGCAAGAACAAAAACAAUGCACUGCAUUCUACUUAAAGGAAAAUUGCUCAGUAUUUUUCAUUGGUGUGCUGUUAUGUCAAAAACUUAUAAUUUGGGGCAUGAGUAUACAAGUAUUCUUUUGAUUUUAUAUCUGUGUUACUGAUUUCUGGGAUGAAGAUUUGUGCUUCUGGCCCACUUUAUGAAUUCUGAAUGCCACCUGCAUUUGAAAAUAUCUAAACAAUGGUUGUUCAUUAGAUGCUCUAAGAAGAUGGUAGUAUUUUACAGAAAUUGUUGCAUACAUUUCACUGAAUUGACAGGCAGAGCACACUUCUACUUUUUUAGGUCCCCAUAUGUCAUCUACUUUGAGCAGCACAGUGGGGAACUAGGAGAUUCAGAGAGGUUCCUUGCAGCCUCAACUGUUCUGUGAUUCUGUGGCUUGGUGGUUUUGUGUAUAAACUACUGGUUGAGGAAAAUGCUGCUUUCUAGCCGUGUUUCAUUUUAGACUUAAUCUGUUUGUACAACUGGAGUUGCUUCUGAAUCAACAGCAAAGUGAAGACGCUGAUAUAAAAGAAAGACAGAUAUUCACAUUUCUGAAGAGAGUAGAAAUGAGAGAAACCACAGUUGUCUCACUUUCACCAAAAGGAGAAGUAAAAACCACAAAACCAAUGGUAUCACAUCUUCCUGUAUGUAAUUGUUAGCUGUCUUACUCUUAACUCUCAGUGAGUAUCUGGUGCAUUUAUUUAAUCUGAUUACCUGUUUGGAGACAGCUGUCAAAUACAAAUUUCCAAAAACCAUCUUUUGUUUAUGGUGAAGACAUCUUCUCUCCUGCUCAAAGCCUAAAUUCUACCAAUUUGAUUAAAAAAAAAAAGUUUAAAAAAAAAAAGUAAUGUUCUUUUUCAUUUAAAAGGAGAUAAAAAUGGAGAUAAAGGAGUGGUAAUUUAAACUACCUUUGUAUCACAUCUGAACUCAACUAUAUGUCCUUCCUCUCUGGAAAAUUUUGCUUCUCCCACCUAAAGUUAAAUAAUAAGAAUGAUGAAUCAAAUUUUUAUCAUUUUUAAUUUGUCAGAACUAUGAUUUUGAUUUAAAAAUUUGUGUUGCUCUAUCUUCUGAGAUCAAUUAAUAGGUUAGUUUUUGGCUUCUUUUUGACCCUUUGCCUGCUGCUUGCAGAGGGUCAUGGUGACUGCUAAAUUCCUCAGUGGAGGACUGGUGCCUGCUGGUUUCAUUGUGCCAGCCAGCCACAGUGGUCCCCAGCCAGCAGCCACUCUCUCUGGCCAUUUCACUGAAACCAGGGUGACCUGCCUGGCCUGAACAGCCCAUCGGUCACCACGCCACCUCUUCCUCUGCUGGGAGUCCCCAGCACUGUGCAGAUGUGGGGGUUGAUGUACUGAGUUCCCACACAGCUCACAAUAGAAGAGGAAAACUCUUGGCUGUCUUGUUGGUCACCCAAAGGUAUUUGCUUGAAGCCUAUGAACUGAUAUCUUUAAGCUUCUGCAUGAGAAGUGAAGCUCAACCUGGUCUAUUUCUAUCAUGGGUCAAAAGAAGGAGUAAAAAAUGUGUGGACUUGAGCCAGGGUCACCACCCCUGCUGUCUGGCCCUUUGCUGCACUGCACAGGUCAGGGACCAAAUUUCGACCUUGCUGGUUUGGAAGGGGCCCUACGAAUACAGAAGGUGGAUAGGAGUGUGCACUUCUGCUCAAAACAUGGUCUUCCCUGAAAGUGCCAUCACAGGGAUGGUACAAAUGAAGAAGCACUGUGUUGGGAGAUGAAUGCAACCAGGAGGAGGAACAGCUUAGACAGAAAUCUGCCAGUCGUUUCUGUAUAGCACUUCUUGUCGACACGUC